AUACUUACCUGGCAGGGGAGUGUUAGCUAUGAUCACUAAGGUGGCUCUUCCAAGGCGAGGCUGGUUCAUUGCACUCCGAGCCAGCUAACCUCUGCGAUUUCCCCACAUGUGGGAAACUCAACUGCACAAUUUAUGGUAGUGGGGGCUGCAUGAACGCUUUCCCCUG